CACUCACACUCCCAUUCGCUCUAGACAACACCCAACUACCAGCCCAUAGAAAUCAACAAUCAACAAAUAUUUGCAUAGCCUCUGCGCCCGUCUCCUGGCCUGGUUCACUCCAGGAUAUUUGUGCCACUGAACGCCGGAUGGAAAUUUGCUGAAUUGUUGCAUGUUUGCCGGAUUGCGAGACAGUGGCAUGUGGCAAAGCUUGUCUCAAAUAUAUUGGAAUCUCUUUUGAAAAGCGCGCUGACACGUGCGGAUGGGGGUUUCCGUGAAAAGGGGAUAAGCUAUUGGAGCUAAGCUCGUUAGGUAAGAAACGGGUGCAAAUCUAAAUCUCGUUCUC
rnacentral:sRNA from 1 species